AAUGAUGUUUGUGUGCGAAUGG
rnacentral:miRNA from 1 species